rnacentral:rRNA from 1 species
GUCUAUGGCCAUAACAUACAGAACACUUGAGGUCUUAUCUAAAGCUAAGCAGGGUCAGAUCUGGUUAGUGCUUGGAUGGAAGACAGCCUAGAAACACUGGGUGUUGUAGGCU